rnacentral:rRNA from 1 species
ACUCCAGACUCCUACGGGAGGCAGCAGUGAGGGAUAUUGGUCAAUGGGGGGAACCCUGAACCAGCAACGCCGCGUGAGGGAAGACGGUUUUCGGAUUGUAAACCUCUGUCCUCUGUGAAGAUAAUGACGGUAGCAGAGGAGGAAGCCCCGGCUAACUACGUGCCAGCAGCCGCGGUAAUACGUAGGGGGCAAGCGUUAUCCGGAUUUACUGGGUGUAAAGGGAGCGUAGACGGCAUGGCAAGUCAGAUGUGAAAGCCCGGGGCUCAACCCCGGGACUGCAUCUGAAACUGUCAGGCUGGAGUGCAGGAGAGGUAAGUGGAAUUCCUAGUGUAGCGGUGAAAUGCGUAGAUAUUAGGAGGAACACCAGUGGCGAAGGCGGCCUGCUGGACUGCGACUGACGUUGAGGCCCGAAAGCGUGGGGAGCAAACAGGAUUAGAUCCCCGAGUA